AAACUAACAAGGAUUCCCCUAGUAACGGCGAGUGAAGUGGGAAAAGCUCAACUUUGUAAUCUGGCUCUUUCAGAGUCCGAGUUGUAGUCUCGAGAAGCAUCAUCCGCGCCGGACCUUGGAUAUGUCUGUUGGAAAACAGCGUCAUAGAGGGUGACAAUCCCGUUUGUGCCAAGGACGGCCGUGUGCAUUGUGGUGUGCUUUCUAAGAGUCGAGUUGUUUGGGAAUGCAGCUCAAAUUGGGUGGUAAAUUCCAUCUAAAGCUAAAUAUUGGCGAGAGACCGAUAGCGAACAAGUACCGUGAGGGAAAGAUGAAAAGCACUUUGGAAAGAGAAUGAAACAGUAUGUGAAAUUGCUGGAAGGGAAACGAUUGAAGUUAGACUUGCUUUUGUCACAUUCAGCCUUUUAGGUGUACUUGUGGCUUGUGCAGGCCAGCAUCGGUUUGCUUUGCGGUAUAAGGGUGUUUGGAAUGUAGCUACCUCGGUAGUGUUAUAGACUUGCACUGGAUGCCGAAUCGCAGACCGAGGAACGCAGCGCGCCUUUUUGGCAAUGGGUUCACCCAUCGAGCGCUUAGGAUGCUGGUAGAAAAUAGCUUUAACCGAC
rnacentral:rRNA from 1 species